rnacentral:rRNA from 1 species
AGUGAACGCUGGCGGUAGGCCUAACACAUGCAAGUCGAACGGCAGCAUAGUAAGAGCUUGCUCUUACGGGUGGCGAGUGGCGGACGGGUGAGGAAUACAUCGGAAUCUACUUUUUCGUGGGGGAUAACGUAGGGAAACUUACGCUAAUACCGCAUACGACCUACGGGUGAAAGCAGGGGAUCUUCGGACCUUGCGCGAUUGAAUGAGCCGAUGUCGGAUUAGCUAGUUGGCGGGGUAAAGGCCCACCAAGGCGACGAUCCGUAGCUGGUCUGAGAGGAUGAUCAGCCACACUGGAACUGAGACACGGUCCAGACUCCUACGGGAGGCAGCAGUGGGGAAUAUUGGACAAUGGGCGCAAGCCUGAUCCAGCCAUACCGCGUGGGUGAAGAAGGCCUUCGGGUUGUAAGGCCCUUUUGUUGGGAAAGAAAAGCAGCAGGUUAAUACCCCGCUGUUCUGACGGUACCCAAAGAAUAAGCACCGGCUAACUUCGUG